rnacentral:tRNA from 1 species
GGAGGGAUAAGCCGAGUUGGCCUAGCGGCAGCGGUCUUGAAAACCGAGGGUACCCAGCAAUGGGACGUGUGAGUUCGAGUCUCACUCCCUCCGCAA